AGCAUCCGUAGCCGGCUGCUCAAGUUUCCGGUUAAAUCCACACGCUUAACGUAUGGGCUGCCGGAAAUACUGUUCAGCUAGGGAGUGGGAGAGGUAGACGGUACUCGAUAGGAAGGGGUAAAAUCCUUUGAUCUAUUGAUGACCACCUGUGGCGAAGGCGGUCUACCAGAACACGUUCGACGGUGAGGGAUGAAAGCUGGGGGAGCAAACCGGAUUAGAUACCCGGGUAGUCCCAGCUGUAAACGAUGCUGACUCGGUGAUGCAUUGCCUUAGGGACUAUGCUGGGCUACAGGAAUACCAUUCUCCUCCCCCUAGCUAUAAAUUUCAUCCCACAAAAUUAUAAUAUGAAUGGCGGCUGCGGUAGUAC
rnacentral:rRNA from 2 species